CACACCCCAAGGCCCUGUCUGUCCACGUCAGGCACACCGAGAUAGCAAGCGAGAGGGACAGAGUCUCGCGGCCUCUGAUCCAGGCUGCCACUUCUAUCUUGUUGGGGUUCCAGCACAGAAUUUGCUCCCUGUGCAUCUGGAUUUCUGCCAGCAAAAGCUACAGGAACCUAUGAGUGAACCUAGCCUAAAGUUUAUAGCACAACUGACCAGACAGCUGGAAGGGGCAAAAGCUACUGGUGAGGUGCUCUGCUCUGGUUCGAUGACUAUAACAGUCAGCUGUGUGCGUGUUCCCUCUGCGUGCUGCCCCAGUUCUGCGCAAAUGGCUAACACAGAAGACCCCGAGAGAACCCUCAAAGACCACAGACUCUAGUAAGGUCAAAGAAACAAGUCACCCUCCCAUCCUUACGGGUUCCUCAAAAACAGGGUUAAAGCAUGUUGGCGAGGCAAAGAAACGUGCACUGCUGAGUGACAGGAUGUAUCAACCCCGCACGGGGCCAACGGGGGCUGACCGAUCAUUGUGGGCCCAGGAAAUGACACCCCCGCACCCCUACUGCACAUGGUCCAGGUGCAGGGGACAGAUAAAAGGAGGCUGCUCAGCUCAGUCAGUGCUGGUGGAAGAGGAGGAAGGAUGUGUGCUGCAGGCUCCUGCAGACGAACCAUCGACUCUCCGUGAAUCUGGACUAUGCUGUGGAUGACUAGCUGACUGCAGAGACGCCGAGCUACUGCCAGCUGAGGAGAUGCCCGAAAUGGGCUUUAUGAACAGUUGAUCAACAUCAUCAUCAAUGCUUCUGCAGAAAAUUCAGAACAUCCAGAGAGAUUUAAUCGCACCAAACUGGAAUUCUGAGCGAUGCUUCUGUGAAGACCAUAGAUGGAGUGUCACAAUGCUUUCACAUCUCUCCUGGGGCAAGUAGUACAAGAACAGGGCCCCACAGCUCAGUUAAGAGUCAGAUCAGGGAAGGAGCAAGACGUCCGUCCCACUGUGGCAGGCGAUGACCCUCCAGAGCCAGCUUGGAGGGAAGGAAACUGCUACCGCGGAAGACUGAGAAACCCAAAGAGGGAGUGGAGAGCAGGUCGUCUGACAAGGAGAGGGGGAACCAGGCCCCGGUGGCCAUGGAGCAGCCCCACCAGAUGCUGGUAGGAAGAACCCUAAAGCGUUGGAUCAUAUUAAAGAAGUUUUGUAUUAAAAUCACAAAUGAAUUUGAUUCCCCAUAGUUUAAAUUCCAGGAUAUUACUAAUUAAGAGGUCUCUUGGUUUUUGGUACUGUUUCUCUCCCUCUGUGUGAAACUUGCAAGCUGCUAAUUGUGUUAGUACAUUCUAAGACGGAGUCUGUUCUCAAAGCAAUUCUUUGUAACAACAACUACACACACAGAGAGAGACUCAAAGCAAUACUCUGUAACAGAAACAGCACCCAGAGACUCCCCGCCCUUUUGUUGUAUUCAUCUCGCUUUGUUAACAAUUGUGAUUAAAAUAGAGACAGAGGAUGUAUCUGGAUGGAUGCUUGGUGCAGAUAAUAACUGAAUGAUCAGGGAGGUGCCAGCCUAAGAAUCCAGUGCCCAUCGGCUGAAGAAGGCAUCAGGUGGAAAUAACCAGAGGACCCCCAGAGGGCAGACUGGAAUCCACCCAACAGCCUCAAGAAUGAGAGAACCAAAGAACAAGAUAACUUCUGGCAGCACGGAGCCGUCAGGAAUGUGCCAUCUGCUGACUGAUUCAGCAACAGCAUGAUGAAGCAAUUCCCAUAGACUGGCAUAGGAAGAAAUUCCUAUAAAAAUGGACUCCAGAAAGUGAGAACUUUGGGGUCUUAUUCUGCAAACCAACUUCCAGGAGCAUCAGAUGAGCAUCUGACAAGGCCCUGCUCCCUCCUCAUGUCCAGGCCACCUGGCCAGUGGCUUGGCAUGAGCAACUCUAAGGCUGGUAACUAUGAUAACAACCUUGCAGAACCUGUGUGUGUAUGAAUGAAUAUGAAACUGAAUGGAAUGUUAUAGCUAUAAUUAACUGCUUACUAUGAUUCUUUCUUUCUGUAUUCACAAUAAAUGUGGCAUUUUGCCUUUUCCCCUUUAAUAAGAUACUGC